GCAGGACGAGAACGAAGUGCGCUUGUGACUCACCCAGCUUCUGUUCAUUGUCAAGAGCAACCUUAGCAGGAAAAGAAAACUGAGACUCAGAGAGAGGAUGUGGCCUGAUGAAGAUUACACAACGGACAGCGGCCCAGGCAGACUCAGGUGUAGACCCAGGGCUCCCUGACCGUGUCUCCACAAGCCCAUGUGCACCCCCGGCCAUCAGCUGUCAAGUCUGAAACUGAUGUUCAUGAGGUGGCUCCUUGCCAUAGAGGUGCAGCUGAAGGAUGAAAGACUGGGAAAGGUUGGGAAGAUGGGAUGGGACCUGGAUGUAUAUUAGCAAUGGAGUCAACAAGACCGGUAGAUAAACCCAAAGCAAGGGAUGGACAAAAUGAGUGCUUUUGUUUUUAUGUAAAUUAUAUCCUGAAUUUUGAUUGUAUGUGAUUUUUAAA
rnacentral:lncRNA from 1 species